UCCGAUCGAGAUAAAUUCACUGUGGUGUUUUAUGGCUUUUUAUUCCUAUGUGAUAGUAAUAAUGUCUCAUGUAGGGAUGGAAGCCAUGAAAUACAUUGUGAAAAGUCAUCAACUAAGAUG
rnacentral:pre_miRNA from 14 species